UGACGGCCAUAUCAUGUUGAAACACCGGUUCUCGUACAAUCACCGAAGUUAAGCAACGUCAAGCCUGGUCAGUACCUACAUGGGUGGCUGCGGGGGAAUAGCAGGCGCCGUAAG